rnacentral:rRNA from 1 species
UACGUAGGGGGCAAGCGUUGUCCGGAAUCAUUGGGCGUAAAGCGCGUGUAGGCGGCUGAGUAAGUCUGCUCUGAAAGCCCGGGGCUCAACCCCGGGAGGCGGGUGGAUACUGCUCAGCUCGAGUCCGGAAGAGGAGUGUGGAAUUCCCGGUGUAGAGGUGAAAUUCGUAGAUAUCGGGAGGAACACCAGUGGCGAAGGCGGCGAUCUGGGAAGAUACUGACGCUGAGGUGCGAAAGCGUGGGGAGCAAACAGG